rnacentral:misc_RNA from 1 species
AAGAGAAAACAAGGUAAUAUGGAAAUCAAAGGAGAUGCUUUUCAAAUACAAGCUGACAGUGAUGCCAAGGGACAAACCAAUAACAAAGAAAAGAAAAUGAAAGAAAUAUCUUAACUGCAAACGGGAACUAAUAAGCUUGGCAUUGGUAAGUAAUAUUGGUGAAGAUUGAUGCUCAUUUUCCAUUUCCUCCAAGACCAGAAAGAAAGCUUUUGUGCAGAGUUGAGAGGCCAGGAAAUGGAAUGCUAGAUUAGCCCACCAUAUCCAAAACCCUUGAAACGACAGUUAAGAGAAAGUGCAUGUGUAUUGAUCUUGUCCUGAAUUUGACAGUUCUUGUAUCUAGCACACUUGGAAGAAGAACAUGGUAUUAGAGAAUUAAUCAGUGCAAAAGGGAGGCAGAAAUUUCAGACCCAAAAG